UAUACAGCGAAACUGCGAAUGGCUCAUUAUAUAAGUUAUCGUUUAUUUGAUAGUGCCUUACUACUUGGAUAACCGUGGUAAUUCUAGGGCUAAUACAUGCUAAAAACCCCGACUUCGGAAGGGGUGUAUUUAUUAGAUACAAAACCAAUGCCCUUCGGGGCUCUUUGGUGAUUCAUGAUAACUAUACGAAUCGCACGGCCUUGCGCCGGCGAUGGUUCGUUCAAAUUUCUUCCCUAUCAACUUUCGAUGUUUGGGUAUUGGCCAAACAUGGUUGCAACGGGUAACGGAGGGUUAGGGCUCGACCCCGGAGAAGGAGCCUGAGAAACGGCUACUACAUCCAAGGAAGGCAGCAGGCGCGCAAAUUACCCAAUCCCGACUCGGGGAGGUAGUGACAAUAAAUACUGAUACAGGGCCCUUUCGGGCCUUGUAAUUGGAAUGAGUACAAUUUAAAUCCCUUAACGAGGAACAAUUGGAGGGCAAGUCUGGUGCCAGCAGCCGCGGUAAUUCCAGCUCCAAUAGCGUAUAU
rnacentral:rRNA from 1 species